rnacentral:rRNA from 1 species
GAUGAACGCUGGCGGCGUGCCUAAUACAUGCAAGUCGAGCGGAUGGAUUAAGAGCUUGCUCUGGUGAAUUAGUGGCGAACGGGUGAGUAACACGUGAGUAACCUGCCCUUGACUCUGGGAUAACUGCGGGAAACUGUAGCUAAUACCGGAUACGACCCUCGGAGGCAUCUCCUGGGGGUGGAAAGAAUUUCGGUCAAGGAUGGACUCGCGGCCUAUCAGCUAGUUGGUGAGGUAAAGGCUCACCAAGGCGACGACGGGUAGCCGGCCUGAGAGGGUGACCGGCCACACUGGGACUGAGACACGGCCCAGACUCCUACGGGAGGCAGCAGUGGGGAAUAUUGCACAAUGGGCGCAAGCCUGAUGCAGCAACGCCGCGUGAGGGAUGACGGCCUUCGGGUUGUAAACCUCUUUUAGCAGGGAAGAAGCGAAAGUGACGGUACCUGCAGAAAAAGCACCGGCUAACUACAUGCCAGCCGCCGCGGUAA